AGGAUACCGAACCAGCCAC
rnacentral:misc_RNA from 1 species